rfam:Trichobilharzia regenti genome assembly, scaffold: TRE_scaffold0066857
GUACUAUUGAAGAGUCCCAAACUAGGACGAAACAGCUGUCCAGUAC